rnacentral:rRNA from 1 species
UAGGGAAUAUUAGAAAUGGACGAAAGUCUGAUCUAGCAACACCGCGUGUGCGAAGAAGGCCUUCGGGUUGUAAAGCACUUUUUGGAAGGAUUAGGAAGGAAUGUACUUCCAGAAUAAGUCUCGGCUAACUACGUGCCAGCGGCCGCGGUAACACAUAGGAGGCAAACGUUAUCCGGAUUUACUGGGCGUAAAGCGCGUGUAGGUGGUUCUGUAAGUAGGGCGUGAAAGCUCCUGGCUCAACUGGGAGAGGCCGUUCUAAACUGCAGAGCUAGAGGAUGGUAGAGGGUAGUGGAAUUCCGGGUGUAGCGGUGGAAUGCGCAGAUAUCCGGAGGAACACCAGUGGCGAAAGCGGCCUCCUGGACCAUUCCUGACACUCAGACGCGAAAGCUAGGGUAGCAAACGG